rnacentral:rRNA from 1 species
GACGAACGCUGGCGGCGUGCUUAACACAUGCAAGUCGAACGGUAAGGCCCUUCGGGGUACACGAGUGGCGAACGGGUGAGUAACACGUGGGUGAUCUGCCCUGCACUUCGGGAUAAGCCUGGGAAACUGGGUCUAAUACCGGAUAGGACUCCGGACUGCAUGGUCUGGGGUGGAAAGCUUUUGCGGUGUGGGAUGGGCCCGAGGCCUAUCAGCUUGUUGGUGGGGUGAGGGCCUACCAAGGCGACGACGGGUAGCCGGCCUGGGAGGGUGACCGGCCACACUGGGACUGAGAUACGGCCCAGACUCCUACGGGAGGCAGCAGUGGGGAAUAUUGCACAAUGGGCGCAAGCCUGAUGCAGCGACGCCGCGUGAGGGAUGACGGCCUUCGGGUUGUAAACCUCUUUCAGCACAGACGAAGCGCAAGUGACGGUAUGUGCAGAAAAAGGACCGGCCAACUACGUGCCAGCCGCCGCAGUAA